UACGUAGGGGGCAAGCGUUGUUCGGAAUUACUGGGCGUAAAGGGCGCGUAGGCGGCACGGCAAGUCAGGAGUGAAAGCCCGGGGCUCAACCCUCGAAUGCCGGUGGAUACUGUCGGGCUAGAGUGCGGGAGAGGCGAGUGGAAUUCCUGGUGUAGCGGUGAAAUGCGUAGAUAUCGAGAGGAACACCUGCGGCGAAGGCGGGUUGCUGGGCUGACACUGACGCUGACAGCGCGAAAGCUAGGGGAGCAAUCGGG
rnacentral:rRNA from 1 species